AGACCCGAAACCCGGUGAUCUAGCCAUGGGCAGGUUGAAGGUUGGGUAACACUAACUGGAGGACCGAACCGACUAAUGUUGAAAAAUUAGCGGAUGACCUGUGGCUGGGGGUGAAAGGCCAAUCAAACCGGGAGAUAGCUGGUUCUCCCCGAAAGCUAUUUAGGUAGCGCCUCGUGAAUUCAUCUCCGGGGGUAGAGCACUGUUUCGGCUAGGGGGCCAUCCCGGCUUACCAACCCGAUGCAAACUGCGAAUACCGGAGAAUGUUAUCACGGGAGACACACGGCGGGUGCUAACGUCCGUCGUGAAGAGGGAAACAACCCAGACCGCCAGCUAAGGUCCCAAAGUCAUGGUUAAGUGGGAAACGAUGUGGGAAGGCCCAGACAGCCAGGAUGUUGGCUUAGAAGCAGCCAUCAUUUAAAGAAAGCGUAAUAGCUCACUGGUCGAGUCGGCC
rnacentral:rRNA from 2 species